CCUACGGGUGGCAGCAGUGAGGAAUAUUGGGCAAUGGGCGUAAGCCUGAACCAGCCAAGUCGCGUGAGGGAUGAAGGUUCUAUGGAUCGUAAACCUCUUUUAUAAGGGAAUAAAGUGCGGGACGUGUCCCGGUUUGUAUGUACCUUAUGAAUAAGGAUCGGCUAACUACGUGCCAGCAGCCGCGGUAAUACGGAGGAUCCGAGCGUUAUCCGGAUUUAUUGGGUGUAAAGGGAGCGUAGGCGGCCUUUUAAGUCAGCGGUGAAAGUCUGUGGCUCAACCAUAGAAUUGCCGUUGAAACUGGGAGUCUUGAGUAUGUUUGAGGCAGGCGGAAUGCGUGGUGUAGCGGUGAAAUGCUUAGAUAUCACGCAGAACCCCGAUUGCGAAGGCAGCCUGCCAAGCCAUGACUGACGCUGAUGCACGAAAGCGUGGGGAUCAAACAGGAUUAGAUACCCCAGUAGUC
rnacentral:rRNA from 1 species